rnacentral:lncRNA from 1 species
GACAGCUUAUCAGUCAACCUGAUCUAUCAAAGUAGCUCUCCUCGCCUUUUGUAUAGUCAGACGAAAAACAAGAUAUAAACUGACUUAGCUUGGUAUAUACAUGUUUAUUUAAUAUACUCAUAUAAAUAUAAAAAAGAAGAUGUGGUAUGAUUGUCAAUGAGACAACUCUCCACAAAGAGACCAAAAUAACACAGAAAUUAUCAACUAUAGGUCAUCGUACGGCCUUCAACAAUGAGCAAAGCCCAUACCGCAUAGUCAGAUAUAAAAGGCCCCGAAAUGACAAUGUAAAACAAUUCAAACAAGAAAACUAACGGCCUAAUUUAUGCACAAAAAUUGAACGAAAAACAAAAAUGUAACACAUAAACAAACGACAACCACUGAAUUACAGGCUCCUGACUUGGGACAGGCACAUACAUUUUGAAUGUGGCGGGGUUAAACAUGUUAGCGGGAUCCCAAAUUCAAGUCAAAUUGAUAUUUUAAAACAACAUAAAAGUUAAAAAAGUGUAAAAAAAAAAAAUAUUUUAAUAAAUGUUGAAAAUAUUAUUGUGUUUGUGAGUGGAAAACUACUUAAAAUUGUAGAAAUAUUCAAAAGUAGCUCUCGCGUUUUUGUUCUGCGGCUACGUUAACGGAACACCAAUCAAGUAAUCGAUCUUCAUGACUAUGGCUUCAAUAUUUCAAUGGUAUAAAAUAUCAUGUUCUGCUUGUCGUAGACUCAAAAAGACUUCAAGUUGGAAUAGAUCUACGAAGACUAAAGAACGUUCAUGUGUGGUUUGGCAAUUGUACAUGCCCACGACACCGAUGUCCAGAUAUUGUUCGGAAGAUGUUUUGAGAAGUUACGAUGCUACCGGACAUGUAAAAUUAAACUGUUACAGUAUAUUACAGAACACAAAACUGGCUAUCUUUGCUGUAAAUACAAGUUAAAAACCGGACAUGGUUUACAUUAAAGCUAAAAAUCCCAAUCCCACGGCAUCAAAUAAUUUAAAAAAAAAAACAUAUGACCUUUAACAUUGGAGGUCUAAACUAGCAUUGAGCCGUGUCCAGGUCCGAAAUAGAAAAUAAAGAGAUGUGGAGUAAAUGUACACGGGACAAAAUCGCAC